UAAUGGUCUGAACUGAUCCUUUGCCAAAAGAACGGGUUCCCAUGAUGAUGGCGCGGUCGUGAUCCUGCAGGGCCCCAGCCACGAUUUCCGACGCCGAGGCGGAACCACCAUUAAUCAGAACUACAAUCGGAAGGCCGUCGGCGAGAUCUCCCGGAUGGGCAUUAUAACGAUGAUCGUCAUCAUCGUGGCGGCCGCGGGUAGAGACCACCUCGCCACGUUCAAGAAAGGAAUCGGCGACCGCUACCGCCUGGUCGAGAAGCCCACCCGGAUUGUUACGC
rnacentral:ncRNA from 1 species